AGGACGAACGCUGGCGGCGUGCUUAACACAUGCAAGUCGAACGAGGUGCUUGCACCUAGUGGCGAACGGGUGAGUAACACGUGAGCAACCUGCCCUUGGCUCUGGGAUAGCCUCCGGAAACGGGGAUUAAUACCGGACAUGACCUUCUUCCGCAUGGUGGAGGGUGGAAAGUUUUUCGGCCAGGGAGGGCUCGCGGCCUAUCAGCUUGUUGGAGGGGUAACGGCCCACCAAGGCGACGACGGGUAGCCGGCCUGAGAGGGCGACCGGCCACACUGGGACUGAGACACGGCCCAGACUCCUACGGGAGGCAGCAGUGGGGAAUAUUGCACAAUGGGGGAAACCCUGAUGCAGCGACGCCGCGUGCGGGAUGAAGGCCUUCGGGUUGUAAACCGCUUUCACCAGGGACGAAGCGAGAGUGACGGUACCUGGGGAAGAAGCGCCGGCUAACUACGUGCCAGCAGCCGC
rnacentral:rRNA from 1 species